CGGCGGACGGGUGAGUAACACGUGGAUAACCUACCUAUAAGACUGGGAUAACUUCGGGAAACCGGAGCUAAUACCGGAUAAUAUAUUGAACCGCAUGGUUCAAUAGUGAAAGACGGUUUUGCUGUCACUUAUAGAUGGAUCCGCGCCGCAUUAGCUAGUUGGUAAGGUAACGGCUUACCAAGGCAACGAUGCGUGGCCGACCUGAGAGGGUGAUCGGCCACACUGGAACUGAGACACGGUCCAGACUCCUACGGGAGGCAGCAGGC
rnacentral:rRNA from 1 species